GCGACCUCAGGUCAGGCGGGGCCACCCGCUGAUUUUUUAAACAU
rnacentral:rRNA from 1 species